rnacentral:rRNA from 1 species
AGUGAACGCUGGCGGCAGGCCUAAUACAUGCAAGUCGAACGGCAGCACAGUGGAGCUUGCUCCAUGGGUGGCGAGUGGCGGACGGGUGAGGAAUACAUGGGAAUCUGCCCAGUCGUGGGGGAUAACGUAUGGAAACGUACGCUAAUACCGCAUGCGCCCUUCGGGGAAAGUCGGGGACCGCAAGGCCUGACGCGAUUGGAUGAGCCCAUGUUCGAUUAGCUAGUUGGCGGGGUAACGGCCCACCAAGGCGACGAUCGAUAACUGGUCUGAGAGGAUGAUCAGCCACACUGGAACUGAGACACGGUCCAGACUCCUACGGGAGGCAGCAGUAGGGAAUAUUGGACAAUGGGGGCAACCCUGAUCCAGCCAUGCCGCGUGAGUGAAGAAGGCCCUCGGGUUGUAAAGCUCUUUUGUCCGGAAAGAAAAGCAAUCGGUUAAUACCCGGUUGUUCUGACGGUACCGGAAGAAUAAGCACCGGCUAACUUCGUGCCAGCAG